rnacentral:rRNA from 1 species
UACAGAGGUCUCAAGCGUUGUUCGGAUUCAUUGGGCGUAAAGGGUGUGUAGGUGGCGCGCUAAGUCGGGUGUGAAAUUUCGGAGCUUAACUCCGAAACUGCAUUCGAUACUGGCGUGCUUAAGGACUGGAGAGGAGACUGGAAUUCAUGGUGUAGCAGUGAAAUGCGUAGAGAUCAUGAGGAAGACCAGUGGCGAAGGCGGGUCUCUGGACAGUUCCUGACACUGAGACACGAAGGCCAGGGGAGCAAACGGG